CUUCAUCAAAGGAAGCCAGGUUAGGAGCUCAAGCAUGUGGGAACCUGGAGGCAGGAGCUGAUGCAGAGGCCAUGGAGUGGGGAGCUGCUUACUGACUUGCUGCUCCUAAUGACCUGCUUAGCCUGCUUCUUAUAGAACCCAGGACCACCAUCCCACAAUGGGCUGGGCCCUCCCCUAUCAACCAUUAAUUAAGAAAAUGCCUUACAGGCUUGCCUACGGCCUGAUCUUAUGGGGAGGCAGUUCUUAAUUGAGGUUCUCUCCUCUCAGAUGACUGUAGCUUGUGCCAACUUGACAUAAAACUCUCCAGCACACACUUUGACCUCCAUAAGUCGUGGCGGCAAACACAGAAGUAUGUUUAUUGCUGCAAUGUGUGUCAAAAGACUUGCGGCCUUCUGAUGCGAUGAACUCCAUCGAGUGAGCACGGAUUUAUGGUGAUGCCAAUUUGAAUCUGACAGGAUACCAGCACAUUAACCGCUCCUGGUGAUUCUUAGAGGAAAAACAUGUGAACGACCAACCCAAGUAAUGAACAAGCCAAGCUUCUAUUUACCUGUCAAGAAAUGAGGACAACCAUGAUACAGCCACUACAGCGCAUACAUAUUUUGGGACAUUGCUCAUUUAAUUCAUAUGGAACCUUUACGGAAGGGAAAUGCAGCUGGAAGAGGCGUCUACAGGAGGAGACUGAAAGCCUGAGAGGUGAAUGGGAGCUGACCUCUGAGAACUGAGAAUGCAGGAGGCCAUGGAGGAGGGUUUUUCCUGAUGAUGGGCCGAAGACGGUCCAUAAGAAUCUGGCAGGCAUUCUGAAAAGCAAAUGUUUAGACGGACAUCAGAACUACAAAGCGCAAAACAGCAAAGCAUUAAUGAUCCAGGAAGACUUUAAUGGCAGCUAUUUUACAGGUGUGGAAAUGGACUUAACACAACUGGAACCUGCAAGAGUCAAUUCCCAGGCACACCUUCUCCUGGAUACUGGAGGACUGGCAAGGACCUGGAGAUGUUUUUGGUCUCCAAAGGUUGUCUUCGAGAAUGGUAGUGGGGGAGGAGGGUAUGCCCCAGUGUGGGUAAUCCUGCACAGCCACAGGCUGCCAGUGGAGCCUAGAUACCCAGCUUUAACACGAUCCCACACAAUGUUGAUGGUGACGAGGUUUGGGAUCCAUUAUUUGAGUCUACAUUCGUCAGGUUGUACAUUAGUGACUAGAAGCCUAGAGAUGGGAAACAGUUGGUCACACCAGAUGCCUAGCAUCAUGGGGGUGGAAAGGAAAAGAUAAUGCCAGAGAUUGAACUCUGUGAAGAAGCAGUUAUGGUGAAAUGAGAGGGGAGGCAAGAAAGGGAUCUUUUUGUUUAUGCCAGUUUGCUUUUGAAACCUGGCCUGACACUGUUGAGGUUUGCUUUUUUGCUAUGUAUUAUAAUGCUAAAUACCAGCCCUGGUCGCUCCCAGGGAUGGGGAGGUUCUCACAUGGACUUAAGUGAUGCUAGGUAAUCUUGCCCCCCCCCCCCAAGUUAUCCCUGAUUGGUGAAUAAAAAUGCCUUUCGCCUGUAGCUGGGCAGAAGAGAGAUAGGUGGAGUUUUGGCUCCUUGGCUGGGGGUCUGAGGCAGGGGCCAUGAGGAGACAGAGAAGGUAGAGAGAGAAGAUGAUACCAUGGGGUAGGUGAGUCAUGAAAACAUGGCCAUGAAGGCUGCCCAAUUGGAGUGAUAGCGGGGUUAUUGAUGAGGAAGUGGAUUUCAAUAUCUGCUGAGUUCUAGUGCUUUAAAGGCGUAUCAUAUAUAAAAAGGUCUUCUUUCUUUCAUAUGGGGUGGAAAACCCCAAUGGAGAUUAAGUAUUUUCUGCACCAUGACAUUCCAGUACUUAUAUUAGGGUGCAGCUACUCAAAUGGGUCCCUCUGAGUAGGACCUUACUGUUGAUGCUCUCCAAGACCCUAAAUUCUGCAUCCCGAAGGUCUGUUCCGAUAUCCAUGGUUUCUGCCUUUGUCUGCGUCCGUGCUCUCUCCUGUUAGAGGGAACCAACCGCCCUUCAUUUCUCUGUCUCUAAAGAGGGACGUCAUGGCUGCCCAGAUUCCCUUCCUUGUGCAUGAGCCGUUUUUGAGCGAGAGCCAGCCCUUUGGAGAUGGGCUUUGAGAAGGGCCCAUCUCUUCCACCUCACCUGAUUGUAGAAGGCUAUGGGGACCGCAACGCUGAACUUCAUGGGGACGACAGCAAGCCCCCUCUUCUUCCAAUAGUUGUUUCCGUUAAAUUCCUCUGCAGCCUUCUUCCUAGCAAAGAAUGACGACUUCUCCAGACACUCCUUCCAGCAUCUCCGCAAGGGCUCUGGAUUAAACGUCUGCUUAUAGGCUGUCUUGCUAGUUUUCUUAUACAUGUUUAUUUCUCUAACCUGAAAGGUGAGAACAUGUGUGCAUCACAUGUCUGAUAUGGAAAAAGUUUGUCUAAAAAUACUUUUAGUAUACUAAUAUAUAUAUAUAUGUAUAUAUAUAUAUAUAUAUAUANNNNNNNNNNNNNNNNNNAAAAUGACAACAGAAACUACUAACGAGUACUUCAUAUGCCCCAGGCUUUAGAUUAGGUAUUUCAGUGAGCUUCACAAUAACCCUAAGAAACAGUAGGACAAUUACUCAUCCUGUUAUCAAUUUGUUGGCAAGAAAAGAUUUUCCUGAUUCAAAUUAUUUUGUUUUGUUUUUGCUUUUUUUUCGAGACAGGGUUUCUCUGUAUAGUUCUGGCUGUCCUGGAACUCACUUUGUAGUCCAGGCUGGCCUCUAUCUCAGAAAUCCUCUUGCCUCUGCCUCCUGAGUGCUGGGAUUAAAGGUGUUUGCCACCACACUCAGCUCCUGAUUCAAAUUCUUAAUUACUCCCAAUUUCCCUCACUUUACCCCUUGAGAGUAUUGCACACGCCAAGCAAACCCUUGUCUAUCAAGUGACAAGCUGUUUGCACAAAAGGCUGUGAUCAUCCCACCCAUUUCUGCCCUGGUAUAGUUUCACACUGACUCUGGAUUGACCUUGUGAUGUGCUUUUUAUGGUGGGACUGUACAUAGUAACACAGACAGAGACUUGACAAAUGUUUGUGGAUUACAGCAUGCCACCAACCUGCUGCUCUCCGGAAUUCUCUGAUACCCAUGAGAGUGAAUCUGGGCUAGCUUACUGAAAGAUGAACGACUAUACAACAGACUUUACAGCUGAGGCAUAGUCAGAUAAGCCAGCCCAAUACUCAUCAGAAAUGUCAAUAAAGAGAAAUGUUAAUAAAGCUGUCUUGAACCAUAGAGCUUCCAAUGAGCUGGCCUAAGACCAGGAGAAGCUCCCAAGCAACCCACAGAAUCCUAAGAAAUAGUAUCACGGGUAGAAGCUAUCAGGUUUAUUGGUUCCCAUACUACAAUAGAAAAUGUUUACUGAUAAUGCAUUUUAUUUUCUUGAAACUGUAUAUAUAGAGAGAGAUUGCAGGAGCUCGAGACACACACCAACCACGGCCAGUGCUUUCCUAGCUGGUUCUAACUGCUCACCUCUUCAGGGAGUAAGUUACAUUUAGAUGCUACCGCAGCGAUGUAUGCUUCGACGACCACCGUAGCCUGAGGGAAGCCAAAUCCUCGGAAAGCCGUGUUAGAUGGUAAGUUUGUUUUGCAAGCCCUGCCCCGGCACCGGAAAUUUGGAAUAUGAUAUGUAUUUUCAGAUUUCAGCACGACAAAUUCUAUCACCUGAAUUAAAACAAAAAUAACUC
ensembl:antisense Gm15759 predicted gene 15759